rnacentral:sRNA from 1 species
UACACGUUAUGCUUGACGGUCCUCGCGGACC